GACGUAGGGGGCAAGCGUUGUUCGGAAUUAUUGGGCGUAAAGCGCUCGUAGGCGGGAUCGAAAGUCCGUGUUGAAAGACCUCGGCUCAACCUCGAGACGCCGGUGGAAACCAUCAGGCUAGAGUCCGGAAGAGGAGAGUGGAAUUCCUGGUGUAGCGGUGAAAUGCGCAGAUAUCAGGAAGAACACCCGUGGCUAAGGCGGCUCUCUAGUACGGUACUGACGCUGAGACGCGAAAGCGUGGGGAGCGAACAGG
rnacentral:rRNA from 1 species